rnacentral:rRNA from 1 species
GAAUUCGAUUCAGGCCUAACACAUGCAAGUCGAACGCCCAGCAAUGGGAGUGGCAGACGGGUGAGGAACACGUGGGAACGUGCCUUUUGGUUCGGAAUAACUCAGGGAAACUUGUGCUAAUACCGGAUAAGCCCUUCGGGGGAAAGAUUUAUCGCCAAAAGAUCGGCCCGCGUCUGAUUAGCUAGUUGGUGAGGUAACGGCUCACCAAGGCGACGAUCAGUAGCUGGUCUGAGAGGAUGAUCAGCCACACUGGGACUGAGACACGGCCCAGACUCCUACGGGAGGCAGCAGUGGGGAAUAUUGGACAGAUGGGGGCAACCCUGAUCCAGCCAUGCCGCGUGAGUGAAGAAGGUCUUCGGAUUGUAAAGCUCUUUUGGCGGGGACGAUAAUG